rnacentral:misc_RNA from 1 species
CAGAUCAAUUACUCUUCUGUUUCCUUACUUUUUUCAAUUUUUAUUAUAAUAUUGUUGAUAAUUUUAAUUGUUAAAUCUCCUAUCGUCGUCAAAAAUAAUACUGUUCACCUUAAUAAAGGACUGUCUUCACCACAACUGCUCAUGUCGAUAUUAAUAUCCUCCUUCUCUCCCCAUAACGAUCUACCAACCUCUCAUAGUAAUAUUAAGCUUUCCUUCACCUUGCCUGUAACGAUCUCCAAUAACCUCCCGUACCUAUACGCUGUCUUCAGGAAAGAAAAACCACAUAUUUUCCUUCAAAAGAGACUACCAGUGUUACAGAUGAAACUUCUGGUGCUGCUGUGAUUAUCUCUGGUGGGUUAACAUUUUUCAAGGAUUCAUGGAACCAUUGACCGUUCUUAGAAGCCUCCUCUGGGACCUGAUUCACUGCGAAACUCGGCUGGAACGAAGUUCUCGUCAGCUUUGUAGACCAUUGACUCUCAGCUCCGUAAAUGUCUGCCGUCGUCUGGUGAUUGUCUUCCGAAGGUCUCGUUCUUGAAGUCUGGCUGUAUUUUCCUGGUGAAUUAUUGGUUAGUUGAGUCUGGUCGUAUUCGUCACGUUGAACAGCUUGCGCUGGAUAGUUGCCAAAGUUUAGGACGAACUCGGGUGGAUACUAAAAAUUCAGAGAAGUUUUAAUUGGAUGGAGGUUUGGAUAAGCAGUGCGAUUGAAUGAUAAUUAUUUAUAUAGAUUUAUGUGCAUUCAGAAAUACGCUGUCUUGUUUAGAAGAAAGUUGAUGGUAUUAUAAGUCAUAACUUUUGUCAUGUCUCUAAGAAAAAUCAAAUUAAGAAGAUUUUUGGAAAAGAGAGCUGGGUGUAUUUUCUACUCAAAUGGAAUAUUUUAUUUAUUUGUCAUGUCUCAUUGUGAAAUUGUUACUCCUCUCAUAAAUAAAUUUUUAAUUUAUCUUAUAUUUUUUAGUAUGAAAGAUUUACCUAUUUUUGUAAAUAUAAAAAG